rnacentral:tRNA from 1 species
GGUAAUGUGGCAGCUAAGUGCAAUGAAUUUAAGCUUUAUUAAUAGGGAGGAUCUCUUUUU